rnacentral:rRNA from 1 species
UGAGUAACACGUGGAUAACCUACCUAUAAGACUGGGAUAACUUCGGGAAACCGGAGCUAAUACCGGAUAAUAUUUUGAACAGCAUGGUUCAAAAGUGAAAGACGGUCUUGCUGUCACUUAUAGAUGGACCCGCGCUGCAUUAGCUAGUUGGUAAGGUAACGGCUUACCAAGGCAACGAUGCAUAGCCGACCUGAGAGGGUGAUCGGCCACACUGGAACUGAGACACGGUCCAG